GCGUGUUGAUGCAGAGACUGCGGCCUUUACAGACUUUGGGUUUCUGCUGACAUUCAUCCACGUCUGCGAGGGAAAGGAGAGGAUGAUGGAUGCCUGCAGCUGUGGACAGCCUUCUGGGCCCGCUCUCUCUCCCUCGGUUUUCCUUUCUCUUUUUUCUGUCCUUGAUGAUGGUCCUGAGGAGAAAGGCUGAAGCCCCCAACCAACACCCAUGUCCCCCCACGGGCAUUGGACUGUACCCCACAAUCUCUGCAUGUCCCUCCAUCACCCCCAAGCCUCUGUACCAUCACAGCUGCCGAAGAUGUCGGUGAAGAUCUCCUCAGAUGAAGAACUGAAUCCCGGAGCGCAGCGGCAGGAGUUACCAUGGACACAUGAGGAGUUUGCAGGGCACCGCCCAGCACAGGCUGUGGGGAUGGAGACCUUGAAUGUGGAAUCUUAGUUCCCCGACCAGGGAUCGAACCCACGCCCCC